AGUGAUGAUAGCCUAGGAGAUACACCUGUUCCCAUGCCGAACACAGCAGUUAAGCCCUAGAACGCCUGAAGUAGUUGGGGGUUGCCCCCUGUUAGAUAUGGUAGUCGCUUAGC
rnacentral:rRNA from 4 species